rnacentral:rRNA from 1 species
GAUGAACGCUGGCGGCGUGCUUAACACAUGCAAGUCGAACGGAAAGGCCCAAGCUUGCUUGGGUACUCGAGUGGCGAACGGGUGAGUAACACGUGGGUGAUCUGCCCUGCACUUCGGGAUAAGCCUGGGAAACUGGGUCUAAUACCGGAUAGGACGAUGGUCUGGAUGCCAUUGUGGAAAGAUUUUUCGGUGUUGGGUGAGCUCGCGGCCUAUCACCUUGUUGGUGGGGUGUGGGCGUACAAAGGGGCCGUGGGGUGGCGGCCGUCUGAGGGGGUGCGCGGACAUUGGGACUGAGAUACGGCGCAGACUCCUACGGGGGGCAGAGGUGGGGAGUAUUGCACAAUGUGCGCGAGCCUGAUGCGGCGACGCCGCGUGGGGGAUGACGGCGCUCGGGUUGUAUACUCCUUUCGCUAGGGACGAAGCGUGUUUGUGACGGUACCUGGUGAAGAAGCACCGGCUAACUACGUG